AGUCACUGACAUUAGAUACCCGUGUAGUCCAGGGUGUAAACGCCGCAGACUUGGUGUUGGGAACCCUUCGGGGGUGCUCAGUGCCGGAGAGAAGUUGUUAAGUCUGCUACUUGGGGAGUACGUCCGCAAGGAUGAAACUUAAAGGAAUUGGCGGGGGAGCACCGCAACGGGAGGAGCGUGCGGUUUAAUUGGAUUCAACGACCGAAAAACUCACCAGCAGCGACUGUUACAUGAAAGUCAGGUUGAUGACCUUACUAGAUUUUCAG
rnacentral:rRNA from 1 species